rnacentral:rRNA from 1 species
UACGGAGGAUCCAAGCGUUAUCCGGAAUCAUUGGGUUUAAAGGGUCCGUAGGCGGUUUUAUAAGUCAGUGGUGAAAUCCGGCAGCUCAACUGUCGCACUGCCAUUGAUACUGUAGAACUUGAAUUAUUGUGAAGUAACUAGAAUAUGUAGUGUAGCGGUGAAAUGCUUAGAUAUUACAUGGAAGACCCAUUGCGAAGGCAGGUUACUAACAAUAUAUUGACGCUGAUGGACGAAAGCGUGGGGAGCGAACAGG